rnacentral:rRNA from 1 species
ACGGCUCAGUAACACGUGGGUAACCUGCCUUACACAGGGGGAUAGCCUUCCGAAAGGAAGAUUAAUACCGCAUAAGAAGUAAUUACCGCAUGGUAGCAACUUUAAAGGAGCAAUCCGGUGUAAGAUGGACCCGCGGCGCAUUAGCUAGUUGGUGAGGUAAUGGCUCACCAAGGCAACGAUGCGUAGCCGACCUGAGAGGGUGAUCGGCCACAUUGGAACUGAGAGACGGUCCAGACUCCUACGGGAGGCAGCAGUGGGGAAUAUUGCACAAUGGAGGAAACUCUGAUGCAGCAACGCCGCGUGAGUGACGAAGGCCUUCGGGUUGUAAAGCUCUGUCAUCUGGGACGAUAAUGACGGUACCAGAGGAGGAAGCCACGGCUAACUACGUGCCAGCAGCCGCGGUAAUACGUAGGUGGCGAGCGUUGUCCGGAAUUACUGGGCGUAAAGGAUGCGUAGGUGGGAAUUUAAGUCAGAUGUGAAAUACCCGAGCUUAACUUGGGCACUGCAUUUGAAACUGAAUUUCUUGAGUACAGGAGAGGAAAGCGGAAUUCCUAGUGUAGCGGUGAAAUGCGUAGAGAUUAGGAAGAACACCAGUGGCGAAGGCGGCUUUCUGGACUGUAACUGACACUGAGGCAUGAAAGCGUGGGGAGCAAACAGGAUUAGAUACCCUGGUAGUCCACGCUGUAAACGAUGGGUACUAGGUGUGGGAGGUAUCGACUCCUUCCGUGCCGCAGUUAACACAAUAAGUACCCCGCCUGGGGAGUACGAUCGCAAGAUUAAAACUCAAAGGAAUUGGCGGGGGAGCAC